rnacentral:ncRNA from 2 species
GAGAGCCGUAUGCGCUUAAAGGUGCACGUACGGUUCGGGGAGGGGAAGCGCUUAUGCGCUUCCUACUCCAC